rnacentral:rRNA from 1 species
UACGUAGGGGGCAAGCGUUGUCCGGAAUCAUUGGGCGUAAAGCGCGUGUAGGCGGCCCGAUAAGUCCGCUGUGAAAGUCCAGGGCUCAACCCCGGAAUGCCGGUGGAUACUGUCGGGCUCGAGUCCGGAAGAGGCGAGUGGAAUUCCUGGUGUAGCGGUGAAAUGCGCAGAUAUCAGGAGGAACACCGAUGGCGAAGGCAGGUCUCUGGGCAUUAACUGACGCUGAGGAGCGAAAGCAUGGGGAGCGAACAGG